AGCAGCCGCGGUAAUUCCAGCUCCAAUAGCGUAUAUUAAAGUUGUUGCAGUUAAAAAGCUCGUAGUUGAAUUUCGGGGUCAGUAGGUCGGUCGUGCCACAGGUAUGCACUGGUCUCACUGAUUCCUCCUUCCUGAUGAACCGGAAUGCCAUUAAUUUGGUGUUGCGGGGAGACUGGACUGUUACUUUGAAAAAAUUAGAGUGUUUAAAGCAGGCUAACGCUUGAAUACAUUAGCAUGGAAUAACGGAAUAGGACGUUCGAUCUUAUUUUGUUGGUUUCUAAGAUUGACGUAAUGAUUAAUAGGGAUAGUUGGGGGCAUUAGUAUUCAAUUGUCAGAGGUGAAAUUCUUGGAUUUAUUGAAGACUAACUACUGCGAAAGCAUUUGCCAAGGAUGUUUUCAUUAAUCAAGAACGAAAGU
rnacentral:sRNA from 1 species